UACGUAGGGUGCGAGCGUUAAUCGGAAUUACUGGGCGUAAAGGGUGCGCAGGCGGUUCCGCAUGUCGGGGGUGAAAUCCCCGGGCUUAACCUGGGAAUGGCGUCCGAAACUAUGGGACUGGAGUGUGGCAGAGGGAGGUGGAAUUCCACGUGUAGCGGUGAAAUGCGUAGAGAUGUGGAGGAACACCGAUGGCGAAGGCAGCCUCCUGGGCCAACACUGACGCUCAUGCACGAAAGCGUGGGGAGCAAACAGG
rnacentral:rRNA from 1 species